UGGUCGCCAAGGCGGCCGAUGGGGCUAAUUUUUUGUACGUAUGACAGUAGAACUGUAGUCUAUUUUCAAGGCGGCAGUCAACGCGCAAGCCGUACGUGUGUGCAAGUGGAGACUGGUAGAUAUAUGGUCAAAAUGUAUUUACGAGGUAUAAGAGAAGACCAAAGCACCGUAUAGCUGCAAAAGAAACGAGCGUAGCCAAUCAAAAGUCAGAUUUAAAUUGAUCUCCCAAGAAACAGCAGAACAGGUGGGCGGGUAAAGGCAAGCAACCUUUCUAAUUGGUGGAAUUUGGCGGUAGAAGGCGAUAGUUACAGUAGUUGCGGUAGUUACUUUGACUUGCGCGUGUGAUACUCGCGCGCGUGUCGCGCUUACGUUGUUUACUUUGUCUAUAUAUUAUGACAAGAAGA